UACGUAGGGUGCGAGCGUUAAUCGGAAUUACUGGGCGUAAAGCGUGCGCAGGCGGCGCGUUAAGACAGGUGUGAAAGCCCCGAGCUUAACUUGGGAAUUGCGCUUGUGACUGGCGUGCUGGAGUGUGGCAGAGGGAGGUGGAAUUCCACGUGUAGCAGUGAAAUGCGUAGAUAUCGGGAGGAACAUCGAUGGCGAAAGCAACCGCCUGGGCCUGAACUGACACUGAGACACGAAAGCGUGGGGAGCAAACAGG
rnacentral:rRNA from 1 species